rnacentral:lncRNA from 1 species
AGGCCAUAGACCAGUUAAACACCACCAUUUUGCCUCUUAAUGUGCGUGAUUGAGCCCAGCUGCCCAACUCCUGAGAUUUUUUUUUUUUUUUUUUUUAAUGAUGGGGGAUUUCCAAUCCGCCGUGCUGACUCUUUUUUCUUUCUUUCUUUCUUUUUUUUUUAAGAACGGAGUCUCUCACUGUCGCCCAGGCUGGAGUGCAGUGGCGUGAUCUCGGCUCACUGCAACCUCGACCUCCCGGCUUCAAGCGAUUCUCUUGCCUCAGCCUCCCGAGUAGCUGGGACUACAGGCACAUGCCAGCACGCCUGGCUAUUUUUUUGUAUUUUUAGUAGAGAUGGGUUUCACCGUGUUAGUCAGGUUGGUCUUGAUAUCCUGACCUCGUGAUCUGCCCACCUCCCAAGGUGCUGGGAUUACAGGCGUGAGCCACUGCGCCCGGCCCCAACUUCUGGGAUCUUAUCGAGAAGCUGCUGAUGACCAGCUUCAGGUUUUUUCUAUCUAUAGGGAGACCGCCUUUCCCUGGCACUGGCUGCGACCAAUUAUUAUUUUAGAGAGACAGUGUAACAACUGCCUGACCAUCACCUGAUGAUCGCCUGACAUUCCUGGUGGGGUGGGGUCCUCUUUUGCCCUGCCAUCCACUGUAACACCCAGCACUGUGGGAGGCCAAGGUGGGAGGAUCACUUGAGCCCAGGAGUUCAAGACGAGCCUGGACAAGAAGGUACCCUCCUACUUCACAAGAUCCAGAACCACCCCAAAAGACAUCUCAAAGAAAAGAAACGGCUGGGGACAGUGGCUAAUGCCUGAAAUCCCAGCACUUUGGGAGGCCGAGGUGGGAGGACUGCUUGAGCCCAGGAGUUCGAGACCAGCCUGAGCAAUAUAGGGAGACCUCAUCUCUACAAAAAAAAAAAAUUAAAAUUAGCUGAGCGUGGUGGUGUACACCUUUGGUCCCAGCGACUUGGGAGGCUGAGGUGGGAGGAUCACUUAAGCCCAAGAGGUGGAGGCUGCAGUGAGCCAUGAGUCUGCCAUUACAAUCCAUACUGGGCAACAGAGCAAGACGCUGUCAGAAAAGGAAGAAAGAGAAGCAGAAGAGGAGGAGGAGGAGGAGAAAAGAAGAAGGAGGUGAAGGAGGAGGAAAGAAGAAAAAGAGGAAGAAGAGGAAGAGGAGGAAGCAGAAGAAGUGGAAGAAGAAGAUGGAGGAGGAGAAAGAGGAGGAGAAGGAGAAGGAGGGGAAAGAAAGGAGAGUUUUGGUAGCUGUUAGGGUCUCAGCUUCUCAGCUAACCAUCUACACACAAAGGCUCUAAAGUCCCGUAUCUCCCCACAGACAGGAAAUCAAAAGCUAUCUGUGGAAAAGGAUCAAUAACAAAUGGAUACCCCCAAAGUCAAAGGUCAUACAAAUGUCAAACUAAAAGGGACUGAUUCCCUAACUGGAAAGCAAAUCCAGGCCAUGGCAGAGGGAGCAUGGAAUUUUAGCUAAACUACAAGGUGGAGCAGCCUUCACUGUGAGUCCCACAGGGGACCCACCGUGGGUGGUUUAGCAGACAAAGGAUUGUAACUUUGUUUUAAGUGAGAUUUUUACUCUUUAAUUGAGCUGAGAGAGUUGCUAAGGCUAGCCGUGACACUAUAUUCUUCCUUUCAUUUAAUCUUCCCAUAAAUACAAAUAAAGCAAUUGUUUAGAAUGAGAGAUCUCUAAUUUUUUUAAGAUUUAGGAGUUUUUCUCAUUGAAAGGAUCCAUCUUUUGGCCACUAAUGAGAAUUUCCUAGGGUGUACUUCUUCCGAUAGUGACUCAAUCCAAUAGCCUCUUCAUGGAAACCCCAGGGUGUGAUUUUCCAGGUUUAAAACAAGUUGUUUCCUGGAGAAGGCAAUAUCAAAGAUUUCCUCCAAAAAAAUUCACUCCUAGGAAUAGUCUAACAUAGAAAAAGACUCUUUUUUUUUUUUUUUUCCUGUGAGCCAGCAUCUUGUUCUGUCACCAGGCUGGAGUAUGGUGGCAUGAUCAUAGCUCACUGCAGCCUCAAACUCCAGGGCUUAAGUGAUCCUCCCACCUCAGCCUUCCAAGUAGCUGAGGCCACAAGUGUGUACCACCAUGCCUGGCUAAUUUUUUUUACAUUUUGUAGAGUCAGGAUCUUGCUAUGUUGCCCAGGCUGGUCUCAAACUCCUAGCCUCAAGUGAUCCUCCCACCUCUGCCAUCCGAAGUGCUGGGAUUAGAGGCAUGAGCCACCAUACAUAACCACAAAAGACUCUUGUUGC